AAAACAGGCUCCAGUGAGGAGGAGAAAGAGUCCAGGAAACAGGAAGUGUUUCACCAGAGUCCGCUGCACGCAUGCGCGAAGGCCGGGCCUGCCAGUCAGAGAUGCCCAGAACCUUGGGGAAAAAGGAGUGUCCACAGAGCUCAAUGACAAGACCAGAGACAACAGAAUGCUCAAUCAGAAGGUGGACAAGAACAGAGACAGCAGCUUUGUGGAACCAUGCUGUUAGGAAGGCCCAUGCCUUUGGGCUUUCCCAAAGUAAUUGCUCCAUUUCAUUAAUUUCAGCACAAUCUAUUGUUUAUUUCUAUGCCCUGAUUUUGAGUUUUGGGUGGUUUUUGAUUUUUGCAGACCUUGAAUGUGCCAUCAGGUUAUUUAUUUGAUCUUUCUGUGAUUGAUUAACAUAGCCUCUCUUAGUGAUAAAUUUCCCUCUUAGAACAGCCUUUCUGAGGCUGCAGAUGUGUCUCAGUGGUAUACCAUUUCCAUAGCAUGUGUAACAAAUUUCUG